rnacentral:rRNA from 1 species
AGCUACGUAUGGACGGGAUAAGUGCUGAAAGCAUCUAAGCAUGAAGCCCCCCUCAAGAUGAGAUUUCCCAUGGCGUAAGCCAGUAAGACCCCUUAGAGAUGAUGAGGUUGAUAGGUCAGAAGUGGAAGUGUGGCGACACAUGGAGCGGACUGAUACUAAUCGGUCGAGGGCUUAUCCUAAAUUU